AACAUUUGUGUCCACUGUUGCCUGAAG
rnacentral:piRNA from 1 species